AUACGGAGGGUGCAAGCGUUAUUCGGAAUCACGGGGCGUAAAGGACGCGUAGGCGGGUUGGCAAGUCAGAUGUGAAAUCCUACAGCUUAACUGUAGAACUGCAUUUGAAACUGCUAACCUAGAGUAUGGGAGGGGGAGAUGGAAUUAGUGGUGUAGGGGUAAAAUCCGCAGAUAUCACUAGGAAUACCGAAAGCGAAGGCGAUCUCCUGGAACAUAACUGACGCUAAGGCGUGAAAGCGUGGGGAGCAAACAGGAUUAGAAACCCUAGUAGUCC
rnacentral:rRNA from 1 species